GGCAGCUUACACUGCAAGUCGAGCGGGGGAAGGUAGCUUGCUACUGGACCUAGCGGCGGACGGGUGAGUAAUGCUUAGGAAUCUGCCUAUUAGUGGGGGACAACAUCUCGAAAGGGAUGCUAAUACCGCAUACGUCCUACGGGAGAAAGCAGGGGAUCUUCGGACCUUGCGCUAAUAGAUGAGCCUAAGUCGGAUUAGCUAGUUGGUGGGGUAAAGGCCUACCAAGGCGACGAUCUGUAGCGGGUCUGAGAGGAUGAUCCGCCACACUGGGACUGAGACACGGCCCAGACUCCUACGGGAGGCAGCAGUGGGGAAUAUUGGACAAUGGGGGGAACCCUGAUCCAGCCAUGCCGCGUGUGUGAAGAAGGCCUUAUGGUUGUAAAGCACUUUAAGCGAGGAGGAGGCUACUUUAGUUAAUACCUAGAGAUAGUGGACGUUACUCGCAGAAUAAGCACCGGCUAACUCUGUGCCAGCAGCCGCGGUAAUACAGAGGGUGCGAGCGUUAAUCGGAUUUACUGGGCGUAAAGCGUGCGUAGGCGGCUUAUUAAGUCGGAUGUGAAAUCCCCGAGCUUAACUUGGGGAAUUGCAUUCGAUACUGGUGAGCUAGAGUAUGGGAGAGGAUGGUAGAAUUCCAGGUGUAGCGGUGUAAUGCGUAGAGAUCUGGAGGAAUACCGAUGGCGAAGGCAGCCAUCUGGCCUAAUACUGACGCUGAGGUACGAAAGCAUGGGGAGCAAACAGGAUUAGAUACCCUGGUAGUCCAUGCCGUAAACGAUGUCUACUAGCCGUUGGGGCCUUUGAGGCUUUAGUGGCGCAGCUAACGCGAUAAGUAGACCGCCUGGGGAGUACGGUCGCAGACUAAACUCAAAUGAAUUGACGG
rnacentral:rRNA from 1 species